UGGGGUUCAAAUGGAUAGAAGGAAGUGCUGGGCAUUUUCUGGAGAGCGGGGUUCAAAUGGAGGAAAGGAGGCACGGGGUAUUUUCUGGAGAAUGAGGUUCACAAUGGCGAUCGUGAGUUAUUGUCAGGCGACUGGGGUUCAAAUGGAGAUCGAGGUUCAUUGUUUGGAAAACAGGAGUGUUAUGAAGUUGUCAGGGUUCAAAUGCGGUGAUCAGGGAUCAUACGCGCGAAAAUAAUUGUUCGGGGUCCA
rnacentral:lncRNA from 1 species